ACCUUAUCUCAACCACCUUGAUUUUUUUAGGCUUAAGUCUCUACCAUAUUUUUUUGGUCUCUCUUAUCCACCUUUCUCUUCUAUAUAAAUGCAAAAACGUUAGUCAUAUAUUGAUUAGGUGAAGUGAAGAGAGAGUUGAUUAGGUCAGAUUCAGAUCCAUGCAAACUAAUUAGGUCAGAUUAAGUGAUUCGUGAUAAGAUAAAGAGAGAAGUAUACUAAGAUGUCGUCGUCUAUAGUUUCUUCAAUGUUAUUUCUUCUCUUCCUCGUGUGUCCGCUUUAUAUGGAUGAAGCUUUUGGUGCUCAAACUGAAAUCCGCAAACUCAAGGAGACAAUCAAGAUGAGGAGGAAUUUGGAAGGCGAUGAGCACAGAAGCUCCAACAUGCUGGUUCCACCAAGCGUAUCGAGACAAUGCGGGGGAGAAUAUUUUUUAAAAAACACGGCAACCACUUAUCAUUCUGAAGAUGAGUUCAGUCCUUCUCCAGGAGACUCCUUGUCCUACUACUGUAGAAAGUGCGACUCACUAAACCACUGUACAAUCUAUCUUUGCACCACUAUAGAACACUCUGUGCAGUGUAAACACUGUAGUAACAAAAUUUAUAUAACAGGGCAAAACUUUCCUUGAUAAUUGUAAUGGUAAACUACAAAGACGAUGGUAAUGAAAGUCUAGAUCUCGUAUCUAUCUUAUCUACCGUUUGCGAGGUUUAGUCUCUGUACAUUCUUAUGAUUUCAGUUUUGUAAUUUGUUCUUUGUUUCAACUUUAUCGAAAUGAUUGAUUAUUUGCUA